rnacentral:lncRNA from 1 species
CCUCGCCUUCACGGAACGAUAAUUCGUCCUCGUUGUCCGCUUCGCAGUCGUACAAGGCUCGACAGCGUCGCAGACCGCUUAGGGUCGACGAAGUUGGCUAAAAGGAAGACCAUGUCUUCCAUGGACGAAGCAAGCACUCUUUAACGAACUCACGAGCAUCGAGAUCGCGAGUCAAGAUCGAGAACAAUGCGAAGAAUGCUUCCUUGGAUCGCAAGGAUAGUUAAAUUGGAAAUUCUAGAAGUGGAAGAAAGAGAAAGAGGAUAGCUUUUUGACAAGACUCUAUGCAGAUCGUGCAUAAGAUCGGAAAAGCAUGGACGUUUGCUGGCAGAAUCAUGUUAACGACCAGGUGUCCUAAUCACACAAAACAUUUUAUUGCCAGAAAUGAUUAGACUCGUAAUGUAGCAGAAGUCCAGGAAAUGAAAUAACUCGAUCGGAAAUCGAACAGAACUGUCAAAACUAUAAGAGAUAAUACCAAAAGCAUUGACAUGAAAGAACGAUGGUUACGGAUAGCACGACUGAUCAUGCAAAGUGUUACUACACUUGAAAGUAACAUCCAAUAAUGCUUUCGUGUUACCAUUUCUAUUAUUUCAAUUAAAAUCGCUUUUCCUGAAAAGCUUGUUUGAAUUGUAUCAUCUUUUAAAUACAUAUGCAAUAUUACCAAGCAGGCAAUAAUGUGGGAUGGCUGAUGUUUACCAGAUUCAGAUUUGGGAGCAAAGAUGAAGGCUCCUCAGCGUAGCUCUCUAGCCUGG